rnacentral:sRNA from 1 species
UUUGAUUUUACGGUCUCUUUUGCAUAUCAAGAAGAAGAAAAAAA